rnacentral:lncRNA from 1 species
AAUUAUUAUCCUAAUCUAUGCGAUUUAUCAUAAUCAUAAAAAUAUGAUGCAGCAAAUGAUAAAACACAAUACCUCAUGAAUAAAAUAACUAAUGUCAUGCAAAUGAGUAGAAAAAAAAUAUAGAAAAAUUUCUUCGCAUUAUCCAUGUGAUUGGCUUGUAGGGCACUAUUCUUUCACCAAAGUCACUUGAACUCACUCAAAUUGGUUGAAAGCUCACCAGGAUCCUUAAAGUCUCAGCAG